rnacentral:rRNA from 1 species
UACUCCUACGGGGAGGCAGCAGUGGGGAAUAUUGCACAAUGGGCGCAAGCCUGAUGCAGCCAUGCCGCGUGUAUGAAGAAGGCCUUCGGGUUGUAAAGUACUUUCAGCGGGGAGGAAGGUGUUGCGGUUAAUAACCGCAGCAAUUGACGUACCCGCAGAGAGCCCGUUU